rnacentral:rRNA from 1 species
UGGGGAAUAUUGCACAAUGGGCGCAAGCCUGAUGCAGCCAUGCCGCGUGUAUGAAGAAGGCCUUCGGGUUGUAAAGUACUUUCAGUCGGGAGGAAGGUGGUAAGGUUAAUAACCUUAUCAAUUGACGUUACCGACAGAAGAAGCACCGGCUAACUCCGUGCCAGCAGCCGCGGUAAUACGGAGGGUGCAAGCGUUAAUCGGAAUUACUGGGCGUAAAGCGCACGCAGGCGGUUGAUUGAGUCAGAUGUGAAAUCCCCGGGCUUAACCCGGGAAUUGCAUCUGAUACUGGUCAGCUAGAGUCUUGUAGAGGAGGGUAGAAUUCCAUGUGUAGCGGUGAAAUGCGUAGAGAUGUGAAGGAAUACCGGUGGCGAAGGCGGCCCCCUGGACAAAGACUGACGCUCAGGUGCGAAAGCGUGGGGAGCAAACAGG